GGGCGAUUAGCUCAGCCCGGUUUAGAGCAGUACCUUGACAGGGUAAAGGUCACUGGUUCGAAUCCAGUAUCGCCCA
rnacentral:tRNA from 1 species